GAGCUCCUUUUGGCAGCUGAUACACUAAAAUUGGAGCGAUACAGGGAUUAGCAUGGACCCUAUGAAAGGGUGACACGAAAAUUCAUGAAGUAUUCAUAUUUUUC